UAGCUGUUUUCCAUUUGCCCAGAAACUGCCUUUUCGAUUUGUUUUUGUGCUCUGGUCUAGGAACCUGAGUUUCAACGACAGCUAAAUGAAUUCAGGGUGAGCUACUCCUCCUCCCAGUCGCACUCUAAAAAUUUUGGCUGAAUGUCUAAAGAAGCUACGAGCACCCGGAGGCCUUUAAGGAAAACACUGGCUGCGCACAGCUGCAGUUGGGGGCAGGGAUGGGGAAGGUGCUCACGGAGAGGCCAAACAGGGUCUACGGUGCAGUCCCAGAAGGUCACAUGAUGGCGACGAGAGCAAGCGAGGGGAGAGGCCCCAGCGGAUGCCGCCGCACUCCCGGCCACCAGGCGCGCGUGGGGGCCGUUGGUCUGACAGCUGCUGAGGGCUUCGGCUGCCUGAAAAGCCAUUUGCUCUGGCCUGCCCUGUCUGGCCAACUUCUAUGUAUUUAAAGGAUCCUCGCUGGUCUCUGAGCACCGCCCCCCCAUCUCCAUCUGAAUGGUCAGGCGCAGCGACCCUCUCUGGGAGGGCCAGGAGCCUCCCCGGAGACCUUCAGUCCCUCAUCUGCCUCCCCACGGCUGUCGUAACCUGCACAGUAGUGGAGAUCGGCUGGCAAUUCCUAAAUUAAGGUUCUGUUUACUCUGCUGUUCCAAAGGCUUGUUUUGAGCAAGAUGUUGUGCUUUAAUUAAAAAGACGAGAGAGCUCAUGAGUAAGUGAAAAUAUUUUUGAAUCUUCACAGAAAUGUCUGAAUUGGGUUUCUUGUGUUUCACAGUGAGGGGGGGUCAGGCUGGUCAGCACUUUUAUCUGGGGGACCACUGAAAACUCGUGCUAUAAGCUGACAACGGGCUCUUCUGCACAGUAGACUUGGGGGGGUACCCUAAGUCAAAAAUGCGUCCCUGCUGCUUCGGCAGGGUUAGCCGGCAUCCACGUGUAGUGAGGACACAUUCCUCCUUUACCUUCCCAGCCAGAGGCUUCC
rnacentral:lncRNA from 1 species